GUUGAAUGAUUCGUAAAAGAAAUUUUGCUAAGUGUGCUGAUAGAUGAAAUAACGUGUGCACGCUGGGAAGAACAUCCAAAAACCCAGGCGAUAGCCACCUGAAGAGAGAAUUAUAUUUGAUUUCGUCGAUUCUUUUUUAAGUGUGGCCGUGUGACUUCAAAUUUUGGAGACUGUUUGUGACUUGUCCAGUAAAAUCAGAAGAACAAGCAGUUUCCCUGAUCUGUUGGACAUAGAAAUAUUGGUGAUCAGCUGGGCCGGUUAUAAACUGCGAACCUUAAGCAAUGGACGAAGGCGGGGACGAUGAUCUCCAGCCGAAGCUCAGUGGUCGACUGAUACACUGGCUGCCUUUGCUACAGUGACCUGACAGUGGAAUUGUUAAUUCCAAUCAUGCUGGUUAUGUUGGAUUGCCAGCUGUAGGACGGUUGUAGCUACAUAUUGAUUUACCAAUAAAAGCGUU